rnacentral:lncRNA from 1 species
CUUCUUUCAAGAAAACCACAACACAUCUCACUUUUCUUACAGAUCAAACAUAGUUCUGUGUUCUUGUCUUGUGUUUUUUUUUGAACAAAGUGUUCGUGUCUUGUUAUUCUUUUAUGUUUCUGUGAUGUAAAUAGAUUUUUUUUUUUUAAUUUUGACAGAGUCACGUGCCGUCAUGAGGUAUGUAGCUGAGAAGUACAGGUCACAGGGACCUGACCUUUUGGGGAAAACCGUGGAAGAAAGAGGACAAGUUGAGCAGUGGCUAGACGUGGAGGCGACCACUUACCACCCACCGCUACUUAACUUGACACUUCACAUAAUGUUCGCGUCAGUCAUGGGAUUCCCAUCUGAUGAGAAGCUGAUCAAGGAGAGCGAAGAGAAGCUCUCAGCUGUGCUCGAUGUAUACGAGGCACAUCUCUCAAAGAGCAAGUACUUGGCCGGUGACUUCGUGAGCUUGGCUGACUUGGCUCACCUCCCGUUUACUGAUUACUUGGUCGGUCCGAUCGGGAAGGCUUUGAUUGUGGUCGAGUGGUAAGGAGACGGGACUGAGACGCCAACACGUUUCAGGUUCGAUCCACCUGCUUCGUAAAACUAAGUCACAAUUAUCCUGAUCACCUAACACGGAUAUGAACCUAUGCUUUAGGGCCCAUUUGAAUACCCAGAGAAAGGAUCUAUCCGUGGACUACACCUCUUCUUGGAGAUUAGUCUGAGCCGAUCCAUGGUCUGGGAUACUCCAGGUUAAAAAAAAAAAAACUUUUUAUUUUUAUUUUUUGAUUUUUGAUUUUUCAAUAUAUUUUUAUUCCUUUUUCCACCACGAAAGCAACGGAAACGCAACGCCACGUUUCGCCACGAGUCGCAAUAUCUCUCUCCCACCCGUCUAGCAUCCCCUCUCUCUAUAAAACGGCGUCGUGAGCACCGUAAAAUUCAUCACUUAAACAAGCCAACUGUGACCGCAAGCUUAGACAAAGAAACAGAGAAACAGAAAGAUGGUGCUAAAGGUGUACGGACCUCACUUUGCUUCACCAAAGCGAGCUCUGGUAACGCUCAUCGAGAAGGGCGUCGCCUUCGAGACCGUCCCCGUCGAUCUCAUGAAAGGAGAACACAAGCAGCCUGCUUAUCUCGCCUUACAGGUUUCCUUCCUCGAUCUCCCUCUGCUUCUUUCUUUCCUUUUUCAAGAUUCUCACCAUCUUCUUUGUUUCUUCCCAUGCAGCCUUUCGGUACCGUCCCUGCUGUUGUCGACGGCGACUACAAAAUCUUCGGUACGCCUUCUUUCAAGAAAACCACAACACAUCUCACUUUUCUUACAGAUCAAACAUAGUUCUGUGUUCUUGUCUUGUGUUUUUUUUUGAACAAAGUGUUCGUGUCUUGUUAUUCUUUUAUGUUUCUGUGAUGUAAAUAGAUUUUUUUUUUUUAAUUUUGACAGAGUCACGUGCCGUCAUGAGGUAUGUAGCUGAGAAGUACAGGUCACAGGGACCUGACCUUUUGGGGAAAACCGUGGAAGAAAGAGGACAAGUUGAGCAGUGGCUAGACGUGGAGGCGACCACUUACCACCCACCGCUACUUAACUUGACACUUCACAUAAUGUUCGCGUCAGUCAUGGGAUUCCCAUCUGAUGAGAAGCUGAUCAAGGAGAGCGAAGAGAAGCUCUCAGCUGUGCUCGAUGUAUACGAGGCACAUCUCUCAAAGAGCAAGUACUUGGCCGGUGACUUCGUGAGCUUGGCUGACUUGGCUCACCUCCCGUUUACUGAUUACUUGGUCGGUCCGAUCGGGAAGGCUUACAUGAUCAAAGAUAGGAAGCACGUGAGCGCGUGGUGGGACAGUAUUAGCAGCCGUCCUGCGUGGAAGGAGACUCUUGAGAAGUAUUCAUUCCCGGCUUAAGAACAUGAUGUUCUUUGUUGUUGUUAUUGUUUGUGUGUUUAUGUGAGGUUUAAUAAUAGUGUGGAAAUGUAUGCCUCCCUUAUAUUAUGUUACCUCUACUCUGUUUCGGAUCUCUUUGUAUGGUUGAGUGAGGCUUUUAAUUAGAGGAACUUAAUUAUCACGCUUCCAUCAAGGAUCAUUAUAAAGGUUUUCAAAAUGUUGAAGGAAUAGUAUAACAUCAUUCCUAGGCUGCUAGCUAGUAUAUCUGCACAUUGGUUACGAUACCUCUUCCUAUGUAUAAAUUUAACCGAACUGUACAUGGAUCUCCAACAUUUGAUAGUGUAGAUGUUGAAGGAAGAUUGGACGGAAAACUGCAGAACAUACUCCACUGAGAUAGUGAUAUAACAGCAUUUUUAGGCUCCUAGUUAGUAAGUAUGCCUGCAAGUAUGUAUUCUAAGUAAAUCUAAAUCGGUUUUGAGGCUGCUAUAUUUAUAUUAUAUUUACAUGGGUCUAAAGAUUGUAAAGUUAAUUAUUCACAUAAUAAUAUAUAAAUCCUAAAACUGAUAUUUGCCUCAAUAGUGUAAAUUUAACAGUAUUGAACAUAGAUCUUCAAUAUCUAGUAGUGUUGAUGUAAUGUUGAAGGUUAAGAUUGUUGUCCUUAUUGAGAUUACUGUUGAUGAUCGCAUUAUCGCCUUCAAAUUCGACAACACGGUAUCCUAGAGAUCAGUAUUCAUAGCUGAUAGUAGUACAGAACAUUACACUUCUUCUGACGUCUGAUGUCCCUCAAAUCUUCCCAUUACACAAUACAUAAAUGUUCCAUUGCUUUUUCUUACUAUCCAUCAUAGAUUAGUUGUCUUUGUCACCUUGAUAAUGCGAUGGAUUAUUAUUAUAAUUUAGCCAACCACUUGAAGAUCUCUUCCAUUUAACUUACUUUGCACCCACAUUGUAUUUCUUUCUAGAACUCACUCUCAUAAACAUUUACCUCUAGUUCUAGAAAAAAGACCAUUUGACCUGUAGUGGUAAAUGCAACCGUUUGGAACAUUGCGUAAGCAUUUUGUACCAGUUUGAGUCAUUUGAGUUUUGACGAGUAGGCCACUCACAUUGCCCCACAUAAAUAAAACCAGCGACGUUCAGAGAACCUUUACUUUGGUAGGUUCAUCAGGCUUUAUUGGUGCAUUGAUCAACAUAAAGCAUUAUUAUUAAGUAUAAACUUUAUUAUGAGUGCACACAAAAAAACUCUAUUAUGAAUACACUUUAAUCACUAACUUUUGUUUUAUCCAUCUAAUAAUUUUGUUUAAAGUAACAUAGUCUGCCAAAAUAUUAUUAACAAAACAAUUUGACUCAUUUCAUCACGUUUUGUUGAUACUUUCUUGCCCCCACCAACCUAAUUUUAACCUGCCAGGAAAUGGCUUUGUUUAGUCUCAGAUCAUUAUUUCAUUGCAUUAUGGUUCUAAAAAUGAGAAUCAAUAUCGCAUCUUAUUAGAAUAAACUGGGAUUAUACUCAUGUUCCCCCACCAGUCUUAAUCUAAUAAACAAGUGGUCCUUUUGCAUUGAAAUAAAGUAAAUAACACUAAAGACAAAAAUAAAAGACCAUUUAUUCAAAAUUAUGAUGGGACGUAUUGAAAGUUUCUUAGUGAAAAGUCAAAAACGACGUGUGACUCAGAGCCGCCACCGACGAGUUUAGUACUAAACAAGUGUCGUACACUAAUAGUCUAAUACUACUAAACAAGUUACACUUGUUUUUUUAAGGGUAAUACUAAACAAGUGCGACUGCGUUUACAAUACGACCGCAAACGCAGCUAACCGGUUUCCCUAUAAGAUCAUGUCCUGAGAGAGUGAUAUUAUAACUGAUAGGGAAGAAGAAGAAAGAAAAGGAAAGAAAAGAUGGUGUUGACAAUCUAUGCGCCUUUAUUCGCUUCUUCCAAGAGAGCUGUAGUGACGUUGGUGGAAAAGGGAGUAGAGUUCGAGACUGUCAAUGUCGAUCUCAUGAAAGGAGAGCAGAGGCAGCCUGAGUAUAUGGCCAUUCAGGUUCCUCAUCUCUCUCUCUCUCUCUUGUUCAAUCAUAUUUUUUUUAUAAUAUAUGCAUUGAUCUUGAUAUGUUCUUCUCUGUUGAUCAUUGCAGCCUUUCGGUAAGAUCCCUGUGCUCGUUGACGGUGACUACAAAAUCUUUGGUACAUUUCUUCUCCUUUCUCUCCAGAUUCUUGAUAUCAUACUCUUGAUCAACACACGAGUGAAAUGAAAUGAGUUCUUGAAUUAUGAAAUGAGGUCUUGAGUUAUGAAUAUAUACAUAUGUAGUAAGAAUAUAUAUUACUGGAGUUUGAAUUAGACCAAGCUUAUAAGAGGUUGUGAGAAGCUUGAUGAUCAACCGGUCUUAAAAUUUUGGAAACUAUAAACAGUUUAGUAUAGAUUUUACUAUAAAAAAAUCAAAAUAUAAAGGUCACAAACCUAUUCAUAUUAGGUUUUUAAAAUUUUGGGAGGCAAUACAAAUGUUUGAUUUAGCUAUGCCUAGCCCAUGACCGGCCUUUGACUAGAUCGCUGUAGAUUGACAGGUUAUUAGGAGAUUAGCUCGUGAAUGUUGAAUGUGUGCAGUGUUGUGUGAAUGUUUAAAGAAAUUUCACUAUACUUUGCAGAGUCACGUGCCAUCAUGAGGUACAUAGCAGAAAAAUACAGAUCACAAGGACCUGACUUGUUAGGAAAGACAAUUGAAGAGAGAGGACAAGUAGAGCAAUGGCUUGACGUGGAAGCAACAAGCUACCAUCCACCAAAGUGCUUGACGUGUACGACGCACAGCUUUCAAAGAACGAAUACUUGGCUGGAGAUUUCGUGAGUCUAGCCGAUUUGGCUCACCUUCCCUUCACUGAGUACCUCGUGGGUGCUAUUGGGAAGGGUUAUAUGAUCAAAGAUAGGAAGCACGUGAGCGCGUGGU